rnacentral:rRNA from 1 species
AUAAGUGCAUCAGGCGGAUGCCUUGGCGAUGAUAGGCGACGAAGGACGUGUAAGCCUGCGAAAAGCGCGGGGGAGCUGGCAAUAAAGCUAUGAUUCCGCGAUGUCCGAAUGGGGAAACCCACUGCAUUCUGUGCAGUAUCCUAAGUUGAAUACAUAGGCUUAGAGAAGCGAACCCGGAGAACUGAACCAUCUAAGUACCCGGAGGAAAAGAAAUCAACCGAGAUUCCGCAAGUAGUGGCGAGCGAACGCGGAGGAGCCUGUACGUAAUAACUGUCGAGAUAGAAGAACAAGCUGGGAAGCUUGACCAUAGCGGGUGACAGUCCCGUAUUCGAAAUCUCAACAGCGGUACUAAGCGUACGAAAAGUAGGGCGGGACACGUGAAAUCCUGUCUGAAUAUGGGGGGACCAUCCUCCAAGGCUAAAUACUCAUCAUCGACCGAUAGUGAACCAGUACCGUGAGGGAAAGGCGAAAAGAACCCCGGGAGGGGAGUGAAACAGAACCUGAAACCUGAUGCAUACAAACAGUGGGAGCGCCCUAGUGGUGUGACUGCGUACCUUUUGUAUAAUGGGUCAACGACUUACAUUCAGUAGCGAGCUUAACCGGAUAGGGGAGGCGUAGGGAAACCGAGUCUUAAUAGGGUGAUGAGUUGCUGGGUGUAGACCCGAAACCGAGUGAUCUAUCCAUGGCCAGGUUGAAGGUGCCGUAACAGGUACUGGAGGACCGAACCCACGCAUGUUGCAAAAUGCGGGGAUGAGCUGUGGGUAGGGGUGAAAGGCUAAACAAACUCGGAGAUAGCUGGUUCUCCCCGAAAACUAUUUAGGUAGUGCCUCGAGCAAGACACUGAUGGGGGUAAAGCACUGUUAUGGCUAGGGGGUUAUUGCAACUUACCAACCCAUGGCAAACUCAGAAUACCAUCAAGUGGUUCCUCGGGAGACAGACAGCGGGUGCUAACGUCCGUUGUCAAGAGGGAAACAACCCAGACCGCCGGCUAAGGUCCCAAAUGAUAGAUUAAGUGGUAAACGAAGUGGGAAGGCACAGACAGCCAGGAUGUUGGCUUAGAAGCAGCCAUCAUUUAAAGAAAGCGUAAUAGCUCACUGGUCGAGUCGUCCUGCGCGGAAGAUGUAACGGGGCUCAAAUCUAUAACCGAAGCUGCGGAUGCCGGUUUACCGGCAUGGUAGGGGAGCGUUCUGUAGGCUGAUGAAGGUGCAUUGUAAAGUGUGCUGGAGGUAUCAGAAGUGCGAAUGUUGACAUGAGUAGCGAUAAAGCGGGUGAAAAGCCCGCUCGCCGAAAGCCCAAGGUUUCCUACGCAACGUUCAUCGGCGUAGGGUAAGUCGGCCCCUAAGGCGAGGCAGAAAUGCGUAGUCGAUGGGAAACAGGUUAAUAUUCCUGUACUUGAUUCAAAUGCGAUGUGGGGACGGAGAAGGUUAGGUUGGCAAGCUGUUGGAAUAGCUUGUUUAAGCCGGUAGGUGGAAGACUUAGGCAAAUCCGGGUUUUCUUAACACCGAGAAGUGAUGACGAGUGUCUACGGACACGAAGCAACCGAUACCACGCUUCCAGGAAAAGCCACUAAGCUUCAGUUUGAAUCGAACCGUACCGCAAACCGACACAGGUGGGCAGGAUGAGAAUUCUAAGGCGCUUGAGAGAACUCGGGAGAAGGAACUCGGCAAAUUGAUACCGUAACUUCGGGAGAAGGUAUGCCCUCUAAGGUUAAGGACUUGCUCCGUAAGCCCCGGAGGGUCGCAGAGAAUAGGUGGCUGCGACUGUUUAUUAAAAACACAGCACUCUGCCAACACGAAAGUGGACGUAUAGGGUGUGACGCCUGCCCGGUGCCGGAAGGUUAAUUGAAGAUGUGCAAGCAUCGGAUCGAAGCCCCGGUAAACGGCGGCCGUAACUAUAACGGUCCUAAGGUAGCGAAAUUCCUUGUCGGGUAAGUUCCGACCCGCACGAAUGGCGUAACGAUGGCCACACUGUCUCCUCCCGAGACUCAGCGAAGUUGAAGUGGUUGUGAAGAUGCAAUCUACCCGCUGCUAGACGGAAAGACCCCGUGAACCUUUACUGUAGCUUUGCAUUGGACUUUGAAGUCACUUGUGUAGGAUAGGUGGGAGGCUUGGAAGCAGAGACGCCAGUCUCUGUGGAGUCGUCCUUGAAAUACCACCCUGGUGUCUUUGAGGUUCUAACCCAGACCCGUCAUCCGGGUCGGGGACCGUGCAUGGUAGGCAGUUUGACUGGGGCGGUCUCCUCCCAAAGCGUAACGGAGGAGUUCGAAGGUUACCUAGGUCCGGUCGGAAAUCGGACUGAUAGUGCAAUGGCAAAAGGUAGCUUAACUGCGAGACCGACAAGUCGGGCAGGUGCGAAAGCAGGACAUAGUGAUCCGGUGGUUCUGUAUGGAAGGGCCAUCGCUCAACGGAUAAAAGGUACUCCGGGGAUAACAGGCUGAUUCCGCCCAAGAGUUCAUAUCGACGGCGGAGUUUGGCACCUCGAUGUCGGCUCAUCACAUCCUGGGGCUGUAGUCGGUCCCAAGGGUAUGGCUGUUCGCCAUUUAAAGUGGUACGUGAGCUGGGUUUAAAACGUCGUGAGACAGUUUGGUCCCUAUCUGCAGUGGGCGUUGGAAGUUUGACGGGGGCUGCUCCUAGUACGAGAGGACCGGAGUGGACGAACCUCUGGUGUACCGGUUGUAACGCCAGUUGCAUAGCCGGGUAGCUAAGUUCGGAAGAGAUAAGCGCUGAAAGCAUCUAAGCGCGAAACUCGCCUGAAGAUGAGACUUCCCUUGCGGUUUAACCGCACUAAAGGGUCGUUCGAGACCAGGACGUUGAUAGGUGGGGUGUGGAAGCGCGGUAACGCGUGAAGCUAACCCAUACUAAUUGCCCGUGAGGCUUGACU